CGGUGGCGGUAGGACCGGGGGGCUAGGCCUCCCCUACAACCGUAAACGGUCUACAUGACGGGGUCAGUAAUCGGAGGAGGCGGCCUUCCAAACCCGGUAGCGUCUAACCCGAUCGGAGGGUGAAACCUCGCCCUGCGGAACCGCUGUAGGAGGCUAAACCCUUCGGAGGAAGGGUCUAAGCCUCCGCGCCGAUCGAACCAGGUUAGGCCCGGAAGGGAGCGGCCUUAAGAUCGGGCAGCAGUGUUCGCAGGUAAACGGGGUAGACUCAUAGGGUUAACGACGCGCUGGUGCUAGGAAGGCCCACUUCUCCGAAGCGCCACCG
rnacentral:SRP_RNA from 1 species